rnacentral:rRNA from 1 species
CACCAUUGGAUGAGCCUGCACUUGAUUAGUUCGUUGGUGGGGUAAUGGCCUACCAAGACGGUGAUCAAUAGCUGAUUUGAGAGGAUGAUCAGCCACAUUGGGACUGAGACACGGCCCAGACUCCUACGGGAGGCAGCAGUAAGGAAUCUUGCACAAUGGAGGAAACUCUGAUGCAGCGAUGCCGCGUGAGUGAAGAAGGCCCUUGGGUUGUAAAGCUCUUUCGUCGGGGAAGAAAAUGACUGUACCCGAGUCAGAAGUCCUAAG